rnacentral:misc_RNA from 1 species
UACUCUGUACACUGGGGAUCGUCA